UCGAUUUCUUCGGAAUGAAGUUUUAGUGACUGAGUGGCGGACGGGUGAGUAACGCGUGGGUAACCUGCCUCACACAGGGGGAUAACAGUUGGAAACGGCUGCUAAUACCGCAUAAGCGCACAGCUUCGCAUGAAGCAGUGUGAAAAACUCCGGUGGUACAGGAUGGACCCGCGUCUGAUUAGCUAGUUGGUAAGGUAACGGCUUACCCAAGGCGACGAUCAGUAGCCGGCUUGAGAGAGUGAACGGCCACAUUGGGACUGAGACACGGCCCAAACUCC
rnacentral:rRNA from 1 species